UGGGGAAUCUUGCGCAGUGGGCGAAAGCCUGACGCAGCAACGCCGCGUGAGCGAAGAAGGCCUUCGGGUUGUAAAGCUCUGUCAGGGGGAAAGAAGGCACCUGGGUUAAUAGCCCAAGGGCUGACGGUACCCCCAAAGGAAGCCACGGCUAACUACGUGUCAGCAGCCGCGGUAAUACGUAGGUGGCAAGCGUUGUCCGGAAUCAUUGGGCGUAAAGAGCGCGUAGGUGGCUUGUCAGGUCUGAUGUGAAGUUUCGGGGCUCAACCCCGAACCUGCAUCGGAAACCGGCUUGCUAGAGUCUGGGAGAGGAGAGUGGAAUUCCUGGUGUAGCGGUGAAAUGCGUAGAUAUCAGGAGGAACACCGGUAGCGAAGGCGGCUCUCUGGAACAGUACUGACGCUGAGGCGCGAAAGCUAGGGGAGCGAACAG
rnacentral:rRNA from 1 species